rnacentral:rRNA from 1 species
UACGUAGGGGGCAAGCGUUGUCCGGAUUUAUUGGGCGUAAAGAGCGUGUAGGCGGCCAGACAAGUCUGCUGUGAAAACUCGAGGCUCAACCUCGAGCUGUCGGCGGAAACUGUCUGGCUAGAGUCCGGAAGAGGAGAGUGGAAUUCCUGGUGUAGCGGUGAAAUGCGCAGAUAUCAGGAAGAACACCGAUGGCGAAGGCAGGUCUCUGGGCCGAUACUGACGCUGAGGAGCGAAAGCGUGGGGAGCGAACAGG